rnacentral:lncRNA from 1 species
GAGUGUCCAACUCUUGGAUGUGAGCUUGUGGAAGGAUGAAGGCUAGAGAAUUGUCCAACUCUUAGACAUGGCAUGAAAGAAAUAAGAGAGAGGCUUGAGAACAUCCAACCCUUUGGACAUGUGAAGUGAGAAAGAGAGCAAGCAUCAAAACUAUUUCAAUGCCCCAAUCAUCUUUUAUUUUUCUCGUGCCUCUCAACUUCAUGCCACUCUCAUUACUAGAGA